CAGUAGCCGCGGGAAUACGUAGGUCCCGAGCGUUGUCCGGAUUUAUUGGGCGUAAAGCGAGCGCAGGCGGUUAGAUAAGUCUGAAGUUAAAGGCUGUGGCUUAACCAUAGUACGCUUUGGAAACUGUUUAACUUGAGUGCAAGAGGGGAGAGUGGAAUUCCAUGUGUAGCGGUGAAAUGCGUAGAUAUAUGGAGGAACACCAGUGGCGAAGGCGGCUUUUUGGCCUGUAACUGACACUGAGGCGCGAAAGCGUGGGGAGCAAACAGGAUUAGAUACCCGCGUAGUCCCUGUCUCUUAUACA
rnacentral:rRNA from 1 species